rnacentral:rRNA from 2 species
GAGUAAUGUCUGGGAAACUGCCUGAUGGAGGGGGAUAACUACUGGAAACGGUGGCUAAUACCGCAUAACGUCGCAAGACCAAAGAGGGGGACCUUCGGGCCUCUUGCCAUCAGAUGUGCCCAGAUGGGAUUAGCUUGUUGGUGAGGUAACGGCUCACCAAGGCGACGAUCCCUAGCUGGUCUGAGAGGAUGACCAGCCACACUGGAACUGAGACACGGUCCAGACUCCUACGGGAGGCAGCAGUGGGGAAUAUUGCACAAUGGGCGCAAGCCUGAUGCAGCCAUGCCGCGUGUAUGAAGAAGGCCUUCGGGUUGUAAAGUACUUUCAGCGGGGAGGAAGGUGUUGUGGUUAAUAACCGCAGCAAUUGACGUUACCCGCAGAAGAAGCACCGGCUAACUCCG